rnacentral:tRNA from 1 species
UGGGGCGUCGCCGAAUCGGUAGAGGCACGGGGCUUUGGACCCCGGUUACUGCAGGUUCGAGUCCUGCCGCCCCAGCCA